rnacentral:rRNA from 1 species
CCUACGGGAGGCUGCAGUGAGGAAUAUUGGUCAAUGGGCGAGAGCCUGAACCAGCCAAGUCGCGUGAGGGAAGACGGCCCUAUGGAUUGUAAACCUCUUUUGUCGGGGAGUAAAAAGCGGUACGUGUACCGCAUCGUGUGUACCCGGUGAAAAAGCAUCGGCUAACUCCGUGCCAGCAGCCGCGGUAAUCCGGAGGAUGCGAGCGUUAUCCGGAUUUAUUGGGGUUAAAGGGUGCGGAGGCGGCCGCUUAAGUCAGCGGUGAAAUUUCGGGGCUCAACCCCAAAAAAGCAGUUGAGACUGGCUGGCUAGAGUGGGCGAGAGGUAUGCGGAAUGCGUGGUGUAGCGGUGAAAUGCAUAGAUAUCACGAAGAACUCCGAUUGCGAAGGCAGCAUACCGGCGCCCAACUGACGCUCAGGCACGAAAGCGUGGGUAUCGAACAGGAUUAGAUACCCGUGUAGUC